CUUGUGGACUGUUAUAUCAAAUGAGAGUAGAUUUUCAUAGUUUAUGAAGUUAAAAUCAGGCAGGUUGAAGCAAGAA
ncrna:unclassified sequences RAGATH-18 RNA